AGUGAACGCUGGCGGUAGGCCUAAUACAUGCAAGUCGAACGGCAGCACAGUAAGAGCGCGCCCUUACGGGUGGCGAGUGGCGGAUGGGUGAGGAAUGCAUAGGAAUCUUCUUUGUCGGGGGGGAUAACGUAGGGAAAGUUACGCUAAUACAGCAUACGACCUACGGGUGGAAGCAGGGGAGCAUCGGACCUUUCGCGACUCAAUUAGAUGACGUCGGAUUAGCUAGGUGGCGGGGUAAAGGAACAGCAUGGCGACGAUACGUAGCAGAUCUGAGAGGAGGAUCCGCCACACUGGAACUGAGACACGGUCCAGACUCCUACGGGAGGCAGCAGUGGGGAAUCUUCGCCAAUGGGCGCAAGCCUGUUCCGGCCCUGCCGCGUGGGUGCAGAAGGUCUUCGGAUUGUAAAGCUCUUUUGUUGGGAAAGAACAGCAGCGGGUUAAUCCGCCGUUGUUCUGACGGUACCCAAUGAAUAAGCCCCGGCUAACUUCGUG
rnacentral:rRNA from 1 species